CGUACGCGACCGCUUUGCUAACACUGUUUGUGGCGCGGACAGUGGCGGAUACCAACUAGAAGAAUAAAAAAAGAGGAAAUUUUUACACAGAAGCAUUGAAGAAGAAAAGUUUAGCUAGAGAUUUCAUUGUGAAAAUGGUGCGGCAGUGAAAAUUGAAAAUAUUUAAAGCCUAAAAAAUAUAACAGAAUUAUGGAAACUAAUGUGAGCAGAUAGUUUAAGGCGCGGAGGCAUUAAAGAAAUGCUGCAAAUCGCGAAAAUUUUGAAAGUGCAAAUUCAGUGAGAAUUAUAGUGAAAAAUUUGACAGAAUUGUUGGUCGGUGGCUGUUGUAAUACAUAGUGGGUGUGAUAAGCGUGUGCAGCAACAACAGUACAAAAACAACGUCUGCGUCGAAAGCGAAGUGCAUAUUAAAUAUAAGCAAAAGUAAAAGUUAGCAAAGGCAAAAUGCAACACGUUUCUGUGAAGAGUUAAGCGCGCCCGCAAACCGCAAAUGUUCCGUACCAAAUACCGACCCGAAUGUACAUAAAAUCACAAAAGAACUGUUAAAAUAACAGAAGCAGCAACAACAACAAUUAUGAAAGUGACAUCAAGCAAUGUGCACCGCAGUAUAGAGUUUUAAAAAUAGGCAGGAAGCAGAGAAAAAAAAAACAAGGCAAACGCGAGUGUUGCAUGUCCGCAGUAGAGUGGAGAUAAUAGUGUGCGCGCCUGUGUGUAUACCUCCUUUGUUAUUUGCGUGAAACUGUUGCAAGUGCAUUAUCUUUCUUUACGACUGUCCGCCGCUGAAGCGAGUCACACGAAAUGGGCAUUAAAGUUCAACAUUCGCUGCAUUUCAUCUCCUUCCAUUAGACACAAACGUCUCGCGGCACCCUCAACAUACAUUCUUACACAUACACCAGCACAUACACAUGCCCGCAUAUAUUGAAAUACUUUGUAGCAAAUUAUGUGGCAUAAAACGUGCAACAAAUCACUGAAAUUGCUCGUAUCGAGUGAAUUGAGUUGAAAAUUGCGAAAAACAAGCUGGUCGUAAAUUGUGGAGUAAAGCGCAACAGUCAUGCGACAGAAGCCAGCAGGCAACAGUAGCCGUAGCAACAGUAAUAGCAUCAGCGGGGAACAGAGAAUAUGAAAGCUGAAAUAAUUUAUAUAGCAGAUUUGUGACGGUGAAUGCAGUACCAGAAUUUAAAUGAAAAUAUAAAGAAAAAAAAUAUUUAGCCAGUGUUGUGACUGAAAAAGAAAAUAAUUAGGAUCUAUUGAACUAAAAAAUAAUUAAAAUUACACAAAAACAAAAAAAAAAAAAUUAUUUAAUCACCAACUUGCAGCAGCAGAAGCGCAGUUGUUAGACCCAGCAUUGCUAUUGUGUUCAUAGACUUAAGUUGAAUUGUUAAGUUCAAUAAAAAGUAAGUAAAACGAAAAAAAAAAAUUACUUCAAGAAGUAACAACAAUAGCGAAUGAAUUUGCACAGGAAAUUUAGUUAAAAGUUCACCAAGUAAAUUAAAAUUUUAAAUAUUGACUAAACGAAACAAAUUACAAUUAACGCUAAACGGCAGCAAAACAAAACAAAAAAAAAACAUAAUAACAAAUAAAAAAAUUUAAAAUAUAGAAAUAGAAAUAGUAGUAAAUAUUAGUAAAUGCAAAACACAGGAAUUAAUGUUAAACGCCCCAAAAAGCCAGAAAAAUUUAAAUAAGAUUUAUUAAGUAUAAAAACUACUAACUAAACCGAUACUAACUAUAUACAUACAUACCUAGCAAAUAAUACGUUUGUAUACGUCAGUCACUUAUAAUUCGCGCACUACCCUAAAGUAAUAAAAUUAAAACAAGAAACAACCUAACAACAAAAACCAGCAACCCAUUAAAAUUUACCAUCAACUACAAAAAUACCAAUAACUAAAAUUACCGCAAACAAAAAAAAAAAAAACAAACAAAUCGCAUCGAAAAUAAAUCUCAUCAUUGGCAAUUAUUUUUUAAACUCAUUCGUCUCACUCAAUCUUCUACAACAACUAGUCGUGCGUGUUACAUAUUACAAUACUACAAACAUAGAUUUGUGUUCAUAUUCCUGUGUGUAAAUUUAUGAAAAUUGCCUCAAAAAGGGUGCUGAGCUAAGGCGCAUUACAGUGCAGUUGUUUUUCUAACUAACAAAAGCAAAAAACAAAAAAAUCAAAAAAACAAAAUUACUACUACUAGCAUAAAAAAAAACUACUACUCACUCGCAUCAACAUACUUAUACAUUUACACAUACAUUUCUGCGUAUGUGGCUACCUAAAGCCGCCGAGUAACCAAGAGCAACUUCAGAACUGAAGUCAUAUUUCAGAAGGAGCGUUCGAAGUAAGUGCAUUGCAUCUCCACUGCAACUAAAAGGAUUUCUUCUACCUCAAAUAUAGUAAGGCAACGCAGUAUAUACUAUAU